rnacentral:rRNA from 1 species
AGGACUUAAGUGACCAGCUAACCCCGAUAAGUAGACCGCCUGGGGAAGUACGCCGCAAGGUUAAAACUCAAAGUGAAUUGACGGGGGCCCGCACAACGGUGGAGCAUGUGGUUUAAUUCGAUGCAACGCGAAGAACCUUACCUGGUCUUGACAUAUCUAGAAUCCUGCAGAGAUGCGGGAGUGCCUUCGGGAAUUAGAAUACAGGUGCUGCAUGGCUGUCGUCAGCUCGUGUCGUGAGAUGUUGGGUUAAGUCCCGCAACGAGCGCAACCCUUGUCCUUAGUUACCAGCGGGUUAAGCCGGGAACUCUAAGGAUACUGCCAGUGACAAACUGGAGGAAGGCGGGGACGACGUCAAGUCAUCAUGGCCCUUACGACCAGGGCUACACACGUGCUACAAUGGUAGGUACAGAGGGCAGCUACACAGCGAUGUGAUGCGAAUCUCAAAAAGCCUAUCGUAGUCCAGAUUGGAGUCUGCAACUCGACUCCAUGAAGUAGGAAUCGCUAGUAAUCGCGGAUCAGAAUGCCGCGGUGAAUACGUUCCCGGGCCUUGUACACACCGCCCGUCACACCAUGGGAGUUGAUUGCACCAGAAGUGGAUAGCCUAACCUUUUAGGAAGGCGUUCACCACGGUGUGGUUGCUACCAUCGGGGUGCAAGUCGUAACAAGGUAGCCGUAGGGGAACCUGUGGCUGGAUCACCUCCUAAAAGGGCGAUUGCGCGCCGCUAAAUUCA